UGCCCUACAGUGUUAAAGAAGGUGUGCUGAAGGAGGUUCUAGGAAUCCUGGUGUCAUACAGAGUCACGGUUAAGCUCAUCAUUGGCGGAAUAUUGGGAUCUAGUGAGGUGGGAGUAGAGCUGCCACUCACACUGAUGCACCCAAAACCUGACCUAGGUACAAAUAUUUUUAUUUCAACAUGAGUUACAUUUUUCUGAAGUUUUUCAAGGCUUCACUCCAUAGUCCAAAAGUAGCUAACCCAUGAAAUCUAAUCACUUGUGUUGUUAUUUUUUGCCUUCUGAAGUGAGGGAAAGGUAACAUAGUAUGAUCUUUCCUCCAUGUUUUGCUUAGAGGUCAUGUGUGUUUACAUGAUAGAUCAACAAUUCAUCCGUGGAGGGUGUCAUAUUCUGAAUAUGCACCUGGACACAUUUUUAUCUCUCUGUCUUUCUCUUGUUUCUCUCUGACCAUGCCUCUCUGUCUUCCUCCUCUUAUCUCUCUGUCUUUCUCUUGUUUCUCUCUGACCAUGUGUCUUCAUCCUCUUAUCUCUCUGACCAUGUGUCUUCAUCCUCUUAUCUCUCUGUCUUUCUCUUGUUUCUCUCUGACCAUGUGUCUUCCUCCUCUUAUCUCUCUGUCUUUCUCUUGUUUCUCUCUGACCAUGUGUCUUCAUCCUCUUAUCUCUCUGUCUUUCUCUUGUUUCUCUCUGACCAUGUGUCUUCAUCCUCUUAUCUCUCUGUCUUUCUCUUGUUUCUCUCUGACCAUGUGUCUUCAUCCUCUUAUCUCUCUGUCUUCAUCCUCUUAUCUCUCUGUCUUUCUCUUGUUUCUCUCUGACCAUGUGUCUUCAUCCUCUUAUCUCUCUGUCUUCAUCCUCUUAUCUCUCUGUCUUUCUCUUGUUUCUCUCUGACCAUGUGUCUUCAUCCUCUUAUCUCUCUGUCUUCAUCCUCUUAUCUCUCUGUCUUUCUCUUGUUUCUCUCUGACCAUGUGUCUUCAUCCUCUUAUCUCUCUGUCUUUCUCUUGUUUCUCUCUGACCAUGUGUCUUCAUCCUCUUAUCUCUCUGUCUUCAUC